rnacentral:rRNA from 1 species
UACAGAGGUGGCAAGCGUUGUUCGGAAUUACUGGGCGUAAAGGGCGAGUAGGUGGCCAUCUAAGUCAGACGUGAAAUCCCUCGGCUUAACCGGGGAACUGCAUCUGAUACUGGAUGGCUUGAGUUUGGGAGAGGGAUGCGGAAUUCCAGGUGUAGCGGUGAAAUGCGUAGAUAUCUGGAGGAACACCGGUGGCGAAGGCGGCAUCCUGGACCAACACUGACACUGAGGAGCGAAAGCCAGGGGAGCAACCGGG